ensembl:snoRNA SNORA74 Small nucleolar RNA SNORA74
UCCAGUGGUAGUCAGCUGCCCAUUGCCGCUCAGUGCGGGGGACAGUGUUAUGCUGCUGGGAGAGAAACGUGCUGGCAAGUCACGCCUGGCGCCGCUCGUGCUGUCCUAGUGCCAGACGGGGCCAGGUUUUGGCAGCGCUCUGCAUGCUUGAGAGUGGAGUAACUCUGUUCCAGUAGAGUUAAUCCUAGAUUGGAUGCAGACAAA